GACGAACGCUUGCGGCGUGCUUAACACAUGCAAGUCGAACGGAAAGGCCCUGCUUUUGUGGGGUGCUCGAGUGGCGAACGGGUGAGUAACACGUGAGUAACCUGCCCUUGACUUUGGGAUAACUUCAGGAAACUGGGGCUAAUACCGGAUAGGAGCUCCUGCUGCAUGGUGGGGGUUGGAAAGUUUCGGCGGUUGGGGAUGGACUCGCGGCUUAUCAGCUUGUUGGUGGGGUAGUGGCUUACCAAGGCUUUGACGGGUAGCCGGCCUGAGAGGGUGACCGGCCACAUUGGGACUGAGAUACGGCCCAGACUCCUACGGGAGGCAGCAGUGGGGAAUAUUGCACAAUGGGCGGAAGCCUGAUGCAGCAACGCCGCGUGCGGGAUGACGGCCUUCGGGUUGUAAACCGCUUUCGCCUGUGACGAAGCGUGAGUGACGGUAAUGGGUAAAGAAGCACCGGCUAACUACGUGCCAGCAGCCGCGGUGAUACGUAGGGUGCGAGCGUUGUCCGGAUUUAUUGGGCGUAAAGGGCUCGUAGGUGGUUGAUCGCGUCGGAAGUGUAAUCUUGGGGCUUAACCCUGAGCGUGCUUUCGAUACGGGUUGACUUGAGGAAGGUAGGGGAGAAUGGAAUUCCUGGUGGAGCGGUGGAAUGCGCAGAUAUCAGGAGGAACACCAGUGGCGAAGGCGGUUCUCUGGGCCUUUCCUGACGCUGAGGAGCGAAAGCGUGGGGAGCGAACAGGCUUAGAUACCCUGGUAGUCCACGCUGUAAACGGUGGGUACUAGGUGUGGGGUCCAUUCCACGGGUUCCGUGCCGUAGCUAACGCUUUAAGUACCCCGCCUGGGGAGUACGGCCGCAAGGCUAAAACUCAAAGGAAUUGACGGGGCCCCGCACAAGCGGCGGAGCAUGCGGAUUAAUUCGAUGCAACGCGUAGAACCUUACCUGGGUUUGACAUGGAUCGGGAGUGCUCAGAGAUGGGUGUGCCUCUUUUGGGGUCGGUUCACAGGUGGUGCAUGGCUGUCGUCAGCUCGUGUCGUGAGAUGUUGGGUUAAGUCCCGCAACGAGCGCAACCCUUGUUCACUGUUGCCAGCACGUUAUGGUGGGGACUCAGUGGAGACCGCCGGGGUCAACUCGGAGGAAGGUGGGGAUGACGUCAAGUCAUCAUGCUCCUUAUGUCCAGGGCUUCACGCAUGCUACAAUGGCUGGUACAGAGAGUGGCGAGCCUGUGAGGGUGAGCGAAUCUCGGAAAGCCGGUCUCAGUUCGGAUUGGGGUCUGCAACUCGACCUCAUGAAGUCGGAGUCGCUAGUAAUCGCAGAUCAGCAACGCUGCGGUGAAUACGUUCCCGGGGCU
rnacentral:rRNA from 1 species